CAACAACGGAUCUCUUGGUUCUCACAUCGAUGAAGAACGCAGCAAAGCGCGAUAGGUAAUGCGAAUUGCAGACGUGAGUCAUUGAAUCUUUGAACGCACAUUGCGCUACUAGGUUCUCCUAGUAGCAUGCUUGUUGGAGCGCCGAACUUUCUCUCUAACUCUUCUUCUGAAGAGUCGUGAGGUAUUGCUUCUGCUAGAAGUCAAAGAAAUGGAACAGCACACGUUAAUAACUCUGUGCAGUAAUAUUUUUAUGGCCCCCAAUCAAGCAAGAUUACCCGCUGAACUUAAGCAUAUCAAUAAGCGGAGGAAAAGAAACCAACAGGGAUUGCCUUAGUAACGGCGAGUGAACAGGCAAGAGCUCAGAUUUGAAAGCCUUUUUGGCAUUGUAUUCUGAAGUAUUUAUCCUGAGUAAUGAUGUCUAAGUCUUCUGGAAAGGAGCGCCAUGGAGGGUGAUAGCCCCGUGUGACAUCCCACUCAUUGUAGGAUUUAUACGUGGAGUCGAGUUGUUUGGGAAUGCAGCUCAAACGGGUGGUAUGCUCCAUCUAAAGCUAAAUAUCUGUGAGAGACCGAUAGCGAACAAGUACUGUGAAGGAAAGAUGAAAAGAACUUUGAAAAGAGAGUGAAAAAGUACGUGAAAUUGUUGAAAUGGAAGGGUAGGCCGCUAACCAUGUAGAACCGUGUUUGGGGGGAAGAUAAAAGCUGAAGAAUGUGGCUCCUCGGAGUGUUAUAGCUUCAGUCAAUA
rnacentral:rRNA from 1 species